rnacentral:misc_RNA from 1 species
UCACCCCUCAAGCCCCCGGGCUUGGUGUUGGACGGUCUGGUCGAGGUCCUUCCCUCGACCCCUCCCAAAGACAAUGACGGCGGCCUGGUCAGACCCCCGGUACAUGGAGCUUCUUCAUUGAGCACGUAUCGGUCUAAAAGGAUCUCCAGGACCCGGUCUUCUCCUCGCUCCCUCGCGGGAGUGAGGAAAACCCCCUUUUUUCUAA